UCAUUAGAUACCCAGGUAGUCCAUGCCGUAAACGAUGAGUGCUAGGUGUUCAAGCCAUGGGAGCCGGGGGUGCCUGAAGUUCGUUACCGUAAGGAUCGACCUAGGGCAAAACUGGUGACUGGGGCUAAGUCGUAACAAGGUAUC
rnacentral:rRNA from 1 species